rnacentral:tRNA from 1 species
GGGGAUGUGGUGGAAUUGGUAGACACGGCGGACUUAAAAUCCGCUGCUCAUUGCGAUGCGUGGGGGUUCAAGUCCCCCCGUCCCCA